CCAUAUUUUCUCUGAAGUAAGUUUCAAAUCAAUGCAUUCCCCCUCCUCCAAUACUGCACUAGAAGCUCCUCAUUGGUCGGUAGAAACGAUUAAGCUCAAUUGAGAGAGUGGGUCAAUUUCUUGCAUUCCCAUUUUCAGGCGCCAGUUUGCAAAUCACAAGACACAGAAAAACAGAGACUGAAGCAAAAUGGAAGCUCCAAGUACGAUUGGAUAUGAGACCAUCUUCAAUAGAGACCAAACAACUAUGCUACCUUACCCAUCCUCGCUUUUUGCAACUCUCCACUAUUUGAAGUGGAAGAACCAGAUGAGUUUAUGCGAUGGAAGGUACUCUCUUCCCGAACAAACCCGUGUAUUCUAUCCCAAAGAACAGACCACCACAACCAAACCCACCUCUGAAAUUCAGCUCAGCAAAACUACCUACACCUCCUCCGACUUCUACCAAUCUCUCUUUCCAUUUUGACUCUCUCCUGCAACACCUCCUCCAUCUUUCUUCUCCACCCAAUUCCACUGCCCACAAGCUAAAUGACACUAAAUUCUGUUCUUCUCUUAAAAUUUCUGAUGUUUCAGCCCAGAAACAGAGAAAUCCCAUUUCAGUCCUUGAGUUUGAAGUCGACGAAGGAGAGGGUGUAUCCAAUAAUGAUUCUCUCGAUUACUUGUCAAGAAAGGGUAAGUUGAUACUUGAUUCAAUUAUGGAACAGCCUUUGCAUAGUUUGAGUUCUUUCUUUGAUUCUUGCAAAUACGAGCUGCUUCAUGUUGAUUUGAUCAGCCUCUUGAAAGCACUGGACUAUUUCGGCAACUGGGAAAAAGCCCUUUCAUUGUUUGAAUGGACCGUUUUGAAUUUAGGAACUGCAAAUGAGAAAGUAGAUAACCAGGCCAUCGAACUAAUGGCUAGGAUUCUUGGUAGAGAGUCGCAGCAUUCUAUUGCAUCGAAGCUGUUUGAUGUAAUUCCUCUUGAUGACUACUUGCUAGAUGUCCGGGCUUACACAACUAUUCUUCACACAUAUUCUCGUACUGGCAAGUACAAGAGAGCAAUUGAAAUAUUUGAGAAAAUGACAGAGUCAGGUUUGUCACCAACUCUGGUCACUUACAAUGUCAUGCUUGAUGUUUAUGGGAAAAUGGGUCGGUCUUGGAAUAAGAUUUUAGGCCUUUUAGAUGAGAUGAGAAGCAGAGGACUUGAGUUUGAUGAGUUUACUUGCAGUACUGUAAUAUCUGCUUGUGGGAGAGAGGGCCUGCUGAAUGAAGCAAAAGACUUUUUUACUGGAUUGAAGUCUCAUGGCUAUGUACCAGGGACGGUUACUUAUAAUGCUUUACUGCAAGUGUUUGGUAAGGCAGGGAUUUACUCGGAGGUCUUGACCAUCUUGAAAGAAAUGGAGGAUAACAAUUGUCCACCUGAUGCUGUGACUUAUAAUGAGCUUGUAGCGGCUUAUGUGAGGGCAGGGUUCCAUGAGGAAGGAGCUUCUGUCAUAGAUGCAAUGACUUGUAAAGGAAUCAUGCCAAAUGCUGUUACAUACACUACUGUGAUAAAUGCUUAUGGCAGAUCAGGAGAGAUGGACAAGGCUUUAAUGUUGUUUGACCAGAUGAAGGAGUUGGGUUGUGUUCCUAAUGUGUGUACUUACAAUGCAAUUCUUGGAAUGCUAGCAAAGAAGUCACGAUCAGAAGAGAUGCUGAAGAUACUUUGUGAUAUGAAAUUAAAUGGAUGUGCUCCUAAUCGCAUUACGUGGAACACAAUGCUUGCCAUGUGUGGUAAUAAGGGUAUGGAAAAAUAUGUGAAUCGGUUUCUUCAGGAAAUGAAAAUUUGUGGGUUUGAGCCUGAUAAAGACACAUUCAAUACUUUGAUUAGUGCAUAUGGAAGGUGUGGUUCUGAUAUUGAUGCUGCAAAAAUGCUUGAGGAGAUGAUUAAAGCAGGGUUUACUCCAUGUGUUACCACAUACAAUGCACUUCUGAAUGCUCUGGCUCGACGAGGUGAUUGGAGAGUGGCAGAAUCAGUCAUCCUAGACAUGAAGAGUAAAGGUUUCAAGCCCAAUGAGACCUCUUACUCAUUGAUGCUUCAUUCUUAUGCAAAGGGAGGCAAUGUGAAAGGGAUAGAAAGGAUUGAGAAAGAUAUUUAUAGUGGUAACAUCUUUCCCAGCUGGAUGCUUUUGAGAACCCUUGUUCUUGCAAACUUCAAGUGUAGGUCACUAAUGGGAACGGAAAGGGCAUUUAAGGCAUUGCAAAAAUAUGGUUACAAACCUGAUUUAGUUUUAUUUAAUUCUAUGCUUUCAAUUUUUACAAAGAACAAGAUGUAUAAGCGAGCUCAUGAAAUGCUGCAUUUGAUUCAUGAGAGUGGGUUGCAGCCAGAUCUCUUCACCUACAAUAGCUUGAUGGACAUGUAUGCCAGAGGGGGAGACUGCUGGAAAUCAGAAGAGAUUCUCAGGAUGCUACAAACGGCUGGUGGCAAACCAGACCUUGUUUCAUAUAACACUGUCAUCAAAGCUUUUUGUAGACGAGGACUUAUGCAGGAGGCUAUAAGAAUCCUAUCAGAGAUGACAUCAAUAGGAAUUGGACCAUGUAUUUUUACAUACAAUACUUUCAUUACAGGCUAUGCAGCACAAGGAAUGUUUACAGAAAUAAAUGAAGUGAUUAGCUACAUGAUUGAGCAUGACUGCAGACCAAAUGAGCUAACCUACAAGAUUGUGGUAGAUGGUUAUUGUAAAGCAAAACAAUAUAAAGAAGCCAUGGACUUCGUUUCAAAGAUUAAGAAUAUAGAUGACUCUUUUGGUGAUGGGUCUGUGCAAAGACUUGCUUCUCGGGUGCGCAAUAAUCUGGAAUCAUGAAUUCGUGGAGUAUCCCACCCAGACUCUGUAUAUUAAUCACUUGGGGAGCUUCAGGGAAUGUCAAUUCUGAAGAAAAAAAAAGUGGAUUUCUUUCUAAUCUUCUUCAGAUAUGGUGCUAGCGAAAGUCGCCAAAGAUUACCUAGAGCAUGCCUUGGCAAUGGUGGAUUUGUUCGUUCCCGAAUGUUCACCAAGUGGGAGGCAAUAGAUGCUGGAAGCAUAUCUUUCCCUGAGUUUAUUCUAGCUGUUUCCAUUGCAGAUUUCCAGAUAAGAGCUGUUACAACUUCCACACGAGUAGGAUUGCCGUUAACAAUUUUUGCUUUUAGAUUAGCCAAAUUCUUCCCAUCAAAUUCAAAUCUCCUUGUUACAAUUUUCUCAUUUCUAAUAAUGUCACUUUGCUUGAUUAUAUCUAUGCCUUUAGGUGGAAAGAGCACAGCUGAAUCCAGAUUGGGUGCAAGCUUUUCAUCACUGCCACUUGCAGUUGCAGACCAAGCAUUGAGGAAGGAGGCCAUGGUUGCGCCGUCUGCAACCUUGUGAGAAACACACACACCGAUCCCGACACUACCACACUCGAAAACAUUAAGUUGAACACCUGUGAUCACUGCUUCCCCGUCGGCUUUCUCACCAUCAGGCCUCACUUUGUAGGGAUCAAAUGGGAAAAGCUUAUACAGCAUCUCAGUUUCUGGGUUCUUGGCAAUCUCUGCUGCAAUAUUGACUUUAGUCUCCACAAAGAGAGCACCUUCAUCAUUACAUUCGACGAAAAGAUUUCCUUUCAGUUUUCCACAUAAUGGAUAGAAGCGAACAAGAGUUUCAGACAAAGACUUCUUCAACUUGUCUGACAUAGCUUUGCAAUCAUAUAUCGUGUCAAAAUCAGCAGAAGAAUAGAAAAGAAGAAUUGGAACAUAAGAUGGAGGAGCCAACUCAUCUAAGAGGCAAAUUUUGAAGUUUCUAAGAUGAUCAGGAGUUGGGGAGGCUGGCUUUAUGGUUUCCCUAGAGAUGAUCUCCACCUUCAUUGCCAUUGUUGCAUAUAUCAGAUUGCUCUGCACUAGAAGUUUUUGUUCUUGUAGUUAUCAAUUUUCUACUAUUUAUAGAGCAACUUUUGCUAUACAAAAUUACAUUCUUUCUUCUUUACAAUUAAAUGAAUUACGUCAGUUUCAGUGUGCCUAGGAACUCUUUUUUGUGCACAUCCUAACAUGUGUACAAAAUUGUCAACCAUUGGAUUAGAUAAACAAUGUUGA
rnacentral:misc_RNA from 1 species